rnacentral:SRP_RNA from 1 species
UCUCUCUGUCAAUUCCCCGUCGCUACUUCUCAAAGGAGAAAUAUAAAUUAGACGCUAUUUAUACGAUAUAUUUACUCAUAAUGUGUAGCAUUGUCUUUUCGUGGCGGGUUGUUUGAUAUCAUUCCUCGUCGUAAGGCGGAGUGUGAUGUCCAUUGAAGAUGGGGUUAACCGGUCAGGCAGGCAACUGAACAAUCGGACCUCUCGCAACUUGCGGACAAAAGAUCGCAAUGCUCUCCCCUCCCUUUUAUGUUUUUUG